GACGAACGCUGGCGGCGUGCUUAACACAUGCAAGUCGAACGGAAAGGCCCUGCUUUUGUGGGGUGCUCGAGUGGCGAACGGGUGAGUAACACGUGAGUAACCUGCCCUUGACUUUGGGAUAACUUCAGGAAACUGGGGCUAAUACCGGAUAGGAGCUCCUGCUGCAUGGUGGGGGUUGGAAAGUUUCGGCGGUUGGGGAUGGACUCGCGGCUUAUCAGCUUGUUGGUGGGGUAGUGGCUUACCAAGGCUUUGACGGGUAGCCGGCCUGAGAGGGUGACCGGCGACAUUGGGACUGAGAUACGGCCCAGACUCCUACGGGAGGCAGCAGUGGGGAAUAUUGCACAAUGGGCGGAAGCCUGAUGCAGAAACGCCGCGUGCGGGAUGACGGCCUUCGGGUUGUAAACCGCUUUCGCCUGUGACGAAGAGUGAGUGACGGUAAUGGGUAAAGAAGCACCGGCUAACUACGUG
rnacentral:rRNA from 1 species